CGUCUCGCAUAGUUGCCGGUUGCAGUCUCUGUUGCCGCGCGUACAUUCUCGGAUGUAUCUCGUCGUGAUAACGUUCAUAUGACUACAUACCAAAGUUCCUUGCAGGUUCUCGUGCCGUCAAUUGACGUCAGCGGUCAAAGUCCAUUUGUUGGUGUUAUUGCAGAUGUGAUACAGUAAGUACGCUCCUGGAUGCGGUAUCCCAUGGAUUAUGUAUGGACCAUCGUAGACAAGUCUCCACUUAGCAUUCCUAUGCAUCAGAGCUGAGGAUUUGUGGUGCUGGGAGAUUCUUCAGUGCAUCCAGCUUCAUGGGAUCUGGCCUUAUGCCUUGCACAUUUAUUAUAUGUCCUAGAAAUUUUAUUUGUUCACAAGCAAACUUAGACUUUCAUAGAUUCACUGUAACACCACAUUCCGUAAAUCUGUUUAAUAGCUUGUUAAGAAUGUAUGAAUGUUCUUCCCAUGUGUGGGUGGCUAUCAAAAGUUCAUCCACAUAGUGUGUGACAGAAUGUUUUAAGUCUUCAUUCAGUACCAUCUCUAAGGCUGAGAUGAAAACACCAGAGCUGAUAUUCAAGCCAAAAGGCAGUACACAAAAUUGAUAACUCUUUCCAUUAAAUGAAAAAGCUGUGUAUUUUUCACACUGAGGUUCCAAUCUUGUUUGCCAGAAGGAAUUGACCAAAUCUAAGGAACUAAAAUAUCUUGCAUCUAGAAAUUUCUGCAGUUACUCAUCAAGGUUCUCAGGCUUAGUUCUAACAGGUAGUAUAAUCUGGUUUAUUGCCCUAGCAUCUAACACAAGUCUAAUGCUACGAUUAGCUUUCCUUACAACUAAGAGUGGGCUGCAAUAUGAAGAUGUGCUGGGCUCAAUAAUAUUCCACUCCAGCAUCUGUUUUAACUCUUUCCAAACUGCUGCUUUCUGUGAGUGUGGUACACUAUAUGAUUUGUGGUAGAAUACUGUAUGAGGCUUCACUUCAAUGUUAUAAGAAUAUGUGUUAAUUACUCCUGGUCUUUUUGAGAAAACACUGGCAUACCUAUGGAAUAGUUCUGCUGGUUCACUUCGUUCAUCCUCAGAUAAGGUUGAUGAUGUACCGUACUCUGUAUAGUUGUAUCUGUCUCAAACAUGUCUUGCUUAGGUACUGGUGUGCAUGUCUCUGUACCAUCAUGUUCAUGUAUUAUCUGUAACUUGUAUCCUGGACAGUAUUUAUCAUGGGUUACUUCUCUAGUUUCUAAGUGCAUGGUGUACUGAUUGCCAAAAUCCUUAAAACUACAUGUUUGUGCAGAAAAGUCAAUUAUAGCGUCCUUUUCACACAAGAAAUCUAGUCCCAGUAUAGUAUCACAUAUUAAAUUAGGUACAACUAAGAAUGCCCAAUUGAUCGAUCCAUUCUCUACUUGAACUAAUAGGCUUGUUACCUACAGCAGUCAGUAUGUUGCAUCCUUGCACUGGAAACACAUCCACUUGUACAUGUUAUUGCAUUAAAUUGUAAAAAUUCUCAGAUAAUACGCUUACAGCUGCACCAGUAUCUAAUGUGAGACUUGUAGUUAUACCUCCUGCUUUUGCUUUAGUGGAAGCAAGUACUAAUAUUUUGUGUGAUG